AAAUUGAAGAGUUUGAUCAUGGCUCAGAUUGAACGCUGGCGGCAGGCCUAACACAUGCAAGUCGAACGGUAACAGGAAGCAGCUUGCUGCUUUGCUGACGAGUGGCGGACGGGUGAGUAAUGUCUGGGAAACUGCCUGAUGGAGGGGGAUAACUACUGGAAACGGUGGCUAAUACCGCAUAACGUCGCAAGACCAAAGAGGGGGACCUUCGGGCCUCUUGCCAUCAGAUGUGCCCAGAUGGGAUUAGCUUGUUGGUGAGGUAACGGCUCACCAAGGCGACGAUCCCUAGCUGGUCUGAGAGGAUGAUCAG
rnacentral:rRNA from 2 species